AUUGAACGCUGGCGGCAUGCUUUACACAUGCAAGUCGGACGGCAGCGCGGGCUUCGGCCUGGCGGCGAGUGGCGAACGGGUGAGUAAUGCAUCGGAACGUGCCCAGUAGUGGGGGAUAGCCCGGCGAAAGCCGGAUUAAUACCGCAUACGACCUGAGGGUGAAAGCGGGGGGCCGAAAGGCCUCGCGCUAUUGGAGCGGCCGAUGUCGGAUUAGCUAGUUGGUGGGGUAAAGGCUUACCAAGGCGACGAUCCGUAGCUGGUCUGAGAGGACGACCAGCCACACUGGGACUGAGACACGGCCCAGACUCCUACGGGAGGCAGCAGUGGGGAAUUUUGGACAAUGGGGGCAACCCUGAUCCAGCCAUGCCGCGUGCGGGAAGAAGGCCUUCGGGUUGUAAACCGCUUUUGUUCGGGAAGAAAUCCUCUGGGCUAAUACCCCGGGGGGAUGACGGUACCGGAAGAAUAAGCACCGGCUAACUACGU
rnacentral:rRNA from 1 species